rnacentral:rRNA from 1 species
AGUGAACGCUGGCGGUAGGCCUAACACAUGCAAGUCGAACGGCAGCACAGGAGAGCUUGCUCUCUGGGUGGCGAGUGGCGGACGGGUGAGGAAUACAUCGGAAUCUACUUUUUCGUGGGGGAUAAGGUAGGGAAACAUACGCUAAUACCGCAUACGACCUACGGGGGAAAGCAGGGGACCUUCGGGCCUUGCGCGAUUGAAUGAGCCGAUGUCGGAUUAGCUAGUUGGCGGGGUAAAGGCCCACCAAGGCGACGAUCCGUAGCUGGUCUGAGAGGAUGAUCAGCCACACUGGAACUGAGACACGGUCCAGACUCCUACGGGAGGCAGCAGUGGGGAAUAUUGGACAAUGGGCGCAAGCCUGAUCCAGCCAUACCGCGUGGGUGAAGAAGGCCUUCGGGUUGUAAAGCCCUUUUGUUGGGAAAGAAAUCCAGCUGGCUAAUACCCGGUUGGGAUGACGGUACCCAAAGAAUAAGCACCGGCUAACUUCGUGCCAGCCGCCGCCGUAA